CAAGGGAUCCUGGACUGUAUAAAGGGAGAAAGUGAUGUGAGUCUUGGUGUUCAUCAUUCCUUGUUUCUUGAUGUUAAGGAGAAGUGGUCACCUGUUUCAAGCUCCUGACACCUUGACUUCCUGGCUUUAUGGUCUGUGCCCUUCAAUUGUGAACCAUAAGUCCUUUCUCCCGAGAAGUUCACUUUCCCCACGCUCGACUUCUGCCUGAUGGACCAACACUAGAUCUCCACAUCAGUUGGGCAUCAUUAAAAAGAAAAGGCUCCAUGUUUCCUGGGAAAUCCGGUCAUUGCAGAGCAUUUAAGUACAGCAAGAAUUUAUAUCACUCCCGACCCAGGAUUAGUAAUAAACAUGAAUACAUAUGUGUUGAGAGACAGGCAUGUGAGCCAAGGAUGGCCAAUUGGGACCUUACACAGGAUAGAUUUCUGUAAGAGCAGAUGCCAAAAAGCUACAAAGUGUUAAUGACCUUGAAGCUGAAACCGUCUUGAAUCCACUUUCAUCACCAAGAAGGGAGACAAGAACAGGACCUAUGAAAACAUCUAGUAAUGCAAAUGCAAAAGAUGUGUAAUACAAGUUUUCCUGGAAGUUACUUCUAAUCUGUGAUUCUGGACAUUGCUUGUGCACCUCAUUUCAUUAUCCAAUAUAGACUGCGGAACUUACUGUAUAGUUUAGUAGCCCAUAAGUUAACUUUGUAUAAAAUUAUAAAAGAAAUUUAUCUCAAUCAUUCAUAAAGAUGAUAUUCCUGUCCUUCUGAAAAGAUGUGUACAUUUGACAAUUGCAAUCACCUACCUUCAUUGGCACUGGGUAAUGCAUAAUGUAAAGAUCGGCAUAAUCCAGUUGAAGAUUUUUCAGUGAUUUUUCCAAAGCAGGCUUGACCAGCUCUGGUCGAAAGCAAGUACACCAAAGCUACAGAUGUGGAAGAAUGGAAGUUGUACUAGAUUAAUAAAUCACCUGAAUAUGCAUAGUCAUUUAUCCUGAUGCUGAAAUAUUUUCUGUAUUUGAAUGAAAUUUAUAAGCAUUCCUGUAAACUCAGUGUUGACUCUUCCAUAGCAAUGAGAACUCAGCUACAAUUUUAGGGUUAAUGUUUGUUCAUUUAUUAAACAAUGUAAAAAUUACUUAAGAAAUAAAAUCCAUACUAAU
rnacentral:lncRNA from 1 species